AUUGAACGCUGGCGGCAGGCCUAACACAUGCAAGUCGAACGGUAACAGGAAGAAGCUUGCUUCUUUGCUGACGAGUGGCGGACGGGUGAGUAAUGUCUGGGAAACUGCCUGAUGGAGGGGGAUAACUACUGGAAACGGUAGCUAAUACCGCAUAACGUCGCAAGACCAAAGAGGGGGACCUUCGGGCCUCUUGCCAUCGGAUGUGCCCAGAUGGGAUUAGCUAGUAGGUGGGGUAACGGCUCACCUAGGCAACGAUCCCUAGCUGGUCUGAGAGGAUGACCAGCCACACUGGAACUGAGACACGGUCCAGACUCCUACGGGAGGCAGCAGUGGGGAAUAUUGCACAAUGGGCGCAAGCCUGAUGCAGCCAUGCCGCGUGUAUGAAGAAGGCCUUCGGGUUGUAAAGUACUUUCAGCGGGGAGGAAGGGAGUAAAGUUAAUACCUUUGCUCAUUGACGUUACCCGCAGAAGAAGCACCGGCUAACUCCGU
rnacentral:rRNA from 1 species